GACAUUUCAACGUUAUUGACACGUUAAUUUUUUAAUCUCGAAAGUUUGGCUUCAAUCUCAAAGUUUCAACUACAAUCUCCUUCCUGUGAUUAUUGUUUUUCUCUUCAUGUGGCCCUGAUCCUCUUUUGUACUCCUGAGAUAUGGUACUGUUAAUGAUGGAUAAAACUAUUCUUUUUUUUUUUGUUGGUGCAUGUCUCUUCUCGUGGCCAUAUGUCUUUCAAAAGCGCUUGGGCUUUGAUUUGCUGUGUUUUUCUUUUGUUAUGAUGUUUUAGGAUUCAAACAUAAAGGAAAUGACAGCAGGGAUAAGGACACUUUGGGAGCUUUUCAAGCUAAUUGGCUGAAUGGGAUAGAAAAUAUUGGAAAGGACAGAAGAAAGUAAUUGAGGCUAUUUAUACUUCCAGUUUGUGAUAAUUCAGCAUAAGAUCUAAACUACUUUCAUGUUGAAUGUGUUGUGUUUGCUCUGUUGUCACAAACACAAAGCAGUCCUCUAAUUGGAUAUACCAUUAGAAUCCAGCUCAGAGCUUACUGCUGCAAUAUUCGACAAAAACAUAUUGUCAUGGCGCCAGAGUUGUACCAAUAGCAGCAGAAUAUUGUCCACGAAUCUGCCCAGAAUCAAUGGUUUUAUAGCAAAUGUGCAGCAGCAAAUGAAGCAUUAAUUUUUUUCCUGUGGGUCUUCCUGAUGAAAGCAGCGUUCAUUUUAUUGACUGGCACCGAAAGGUCAGAGUGGGGGAACGCCACCCAUGGGCCUUUAAAGAUGGAGUGGUAUUUCGUGUGAAGAAAUCAAAACAGAGCCUCUAAAAGCAGCCAAUGGGGGACAGAGACCCCACUGCACUAUUGACAGGCGACGAAAGAAAAAUGAAGGAGCGCGCUCAGAGAUGAGAGCCAUGAGGACCGCAGAGGGAUCAGCUCUGACAUUCUGACUGUCAUUUCAAUGAUUUCCCACUUGGUUCAUAUUUCCUUCUACCUGGGGAAGACAUUUCAUAAAUUAUGCAAGCAAAUCUUAUAAGCAUCAACAGUAAAUUAAUGUUGACCUGAGGAUCAUUACACCAAAAAUAUUGCUAAAUUUGGACUGUGAUGUCUUAAAAAGGGGCAUGAGUACAAAUACGACCUAAUGCGAAAUAGAACUCCUGAAAACAGCAUGUGUACAAUGACCAUAGCUACAAAAGAAAAGCACAAGUUUUCAUGUUUAGAGAUGACAAGUAUCUGUUUUUAAAAUGUAGGUCUAAAUUUGACAUUUUAUUUUUUUCCAUUUAUUCAAUUUACAAACUCUAAACAUGGCAGAUCUCUAACGUUGAGUUGCUACAACUGCACAUCAAAAUACCAAAAAUCAUUUUUUGCAAUAGCUGAAUGAGUGAAAACAACAGCUUGAACAUCUAUGUAAAUAUAUACAUAUAGCCUACUGAGCAAUAGACGACUAUUAGACGUCUAGUUCUUUUUUUUUAGACCUAAUUUUUUAGACCUAAUAAUAAUGAAAACCGUUGAGCAAUAUACAGUGUAGUAAAGAUAAAGCCCAGAUUUAGAUUUGGUCUAAACUUGGUCUCAAUAUUGAUGUCUAAAAACCUUUCAUUUUUAGACCUGUGGUAGCCUGAUUUUAGACCAGUCAUCUCGGCUACAUUAAGACGUCUAUUGGACCUCUUUUAGACCAAAAAAUGCUCAGUGGGAAUAUAGAUAUGACAUUUUUUUUUUUACAUCAUAUCCUACAUCCUUCAAACCUGGGAGAUGAGAAGGCUCGACAGGUUUUACCUUAAAAAGGAUCAGAGAACUUUUUGAAAGGUAUGUUUGUGUCAGAUUAGAGGAGUUGGUCAAUCAGUGCUCUUUUAGAAAAAAGCACAUAAAAGAUGUGCUUAUUUCAUGUAUUAAUGUAACAUAGUGUUACUUCAGGCAGGCCAGAAAUCAAGACCUCAGCUCCUCUGUACUGUUAUCCUCAUCUUUGAUUUCAACCGUCCUGUCCCUCCUUACCACAGCAUUUCUUAAAACAAGCAGAGAAUAAAAGCAGAUUUGGCUUUUCGCCUUGACUGAGCCUGCUCUUUGGUAAGCAUCCCUGAAGGAGCAGAGGCUGCCUGAAUCACUUCCUAAGACUCCCUUUAUUCAAUUAUGAUUCUAUGUCCGUUGUUGUUUAUAUAGUUCCUUUCCUUCUCUCGCUAUAGUUCAAUAACUUUCAACUCUAUUUGUAACAAAGCCUUCUUAAUGAUUCAGUGGUUCAGGUUCACUUAUCUCUGCAUUAAUAAGCACUGUAGCAUUAAUGCAUGUGAACAUGAACAGCCUCAUAGCCACAGCUCUCUACAAAGUUUAUCCACAUUCACAUUUCUUUUUUUUCUGCUCUUUCUUCUUUUUCUGUUUCUCUUCACAGAAUGUGUAACUCAAAGCAAGCGCAUGUGUGACUAAUAUACCUGCCCUAAUGGCUCCAUUAGAGUGUUUCAUUGGGGCCCAAAUAGGCUGAAGCCUCCUCUUAAUGGAGCCUACGCGGCUCCAAACCCAAAGCACAGUCCAAUAGCUGCAGAAGGACAUCUCGCUCCAGCAAUAAUAAGGCAUAACAAGAUCUGCAAAGUGUUCAAAUGGCAAAAUCAAUACUAAACUGAAACGUUGCCAUGGACACAAGGAAGCUGGCAGAGGAGAGUGGCGAGGCGCCGCAGGUCUGGAAUAUUAGGGAAUACUGAGGGUGAGUGUUGCAUGAUUUUAUCUUCGGAGAUGGAACAAGAAAAAUGGCUGACCUGUAAAAGAAAAAAUAAUUUAAUUAACUGGUUAAAUCAGGAAAAAAAAAAAAACACUGACCUUACUUUAAAAGUUCAGCCAGCUUCAGGGCAGUAAUAGUCUCUGUUUUUGGGUCAUCAUAUGCUUUUACUUGUCAAAGUAAGCAGAAAAAUUACCAGAUUUGAAUGAUUAUUGGCCACCACCUUGUCAUAUUGGUUUGCUAUAGAGGCUGAUUGUUAAGAAUAUCCUCGCUCCUUGCAAACAAGACAACAAACAAAAUGAUGGUCCAAAAUGAAUGUCUACAUCUUUUUAAUAAUUGUAUGCCUCUAAAUACAUUUUUUAAUUCGCACACAUCUAUUUUUUGUAGCAGAUGGAAGUGAAACAGUCGCACCGUCGAGCCCUGUGUUACAAAGACUGGAGGGACCAUCCAGCCUGUUAUCAGUGCACUGUUCAAAACAGGCAUUUGAUGUAGGACCACUGGUCACCUUUCUGAACCUGUCUAAUAUGGACUAAGAGGAAAACUGUCUUCUGGUCUGAUGAAUCAGAAUUUGACAGUCUUUUAGGAAACCAUGGACACCAUGUCCUCCACUCUAGAGAGAAGAACCACCCAGUUUUUAUCAGCCCAUGUUCCCGUUGGUAGCUAUAGUGUUAUCAAAGACCUUGCAUGUAUAGCAACAAUGCUAAACCAAAUUCUGCAUUUAUUGCAACAGUAUGGCUCUGUAGUAGAAGAGUCCAGAUUCUAAGCCCACAGUCUCAAUGGGAAGCUAUUGAGGGGCUGAAAUUGUACAUCAGACAAGAAAAGGACAAUAUUUAACAUUAACAACUCCAGUUCAAAAACCUUUUUCGUUUUUCAGCCUUUUACACAGCCUCUGAACUCACUGUAAAUCAGGGUUGUAUAUGCUGAACCUCCAUCUUAGGUAUUUGAACUAUCUGUCCAUCUCCACUCUCUUUCUCUCCAUAUUAAAGUUAACAGGAUAACAGCUUGUUGUAUGUUUUCAGCAGCAGCUGAAGAGUUUAGCUUCUACAGCUCAGAACUGAAUCAAUAUUUCUUUGUGUAUAGUGUUACAUACGGCAACAACAGAUGCACAGGUGUUGACAGCCUUGAGCUGCACUCCAAGCUCUCGGACAUAAACCCGUCUUACAGCAGAGAGAUCAUUACUGUUGAUUCAGUCAUCGAACAAAAACACAAAAGGAUAAAAAAGACACUGUUUCUGUCUGUCAGUUUGACAUAGCGACCAGUUUUAAAGGUGAAAAGAGUCACCAGAGAGUUUUUUUUUUUCUUUUUGCCUGCUCAGGAUGUCAGGUGCUGCAGUAAUGAGGAGAGCGUGGAUGUCAGAGCUUGAACUCCUGGGCACUUUCUACCUGUCUCCAAGGAAACAAUUAAGACUAUCUAUUCAUGGUCAACUAGAUCCCUCACUUUCAGCUGCACAUCUCUCUCUUCCCUGAAAAGAACAGUAGGACGAAGUAUUUCCAGUACAGGAUUUUGGUCCUUUUUGGCUCUGAGGCCACUCGUCAAAAUCACAUAUUUUUUUAUUUCCUUCACACCUUUUUUUCCCCCCGAAACUCUAAGUCUGAUGUGCUCUAUCUGUUUAGCUUUACUGUUUGUCCUCUGUUUGUAUUGUUGUCAUGAAACUUCAGCUGAUUCAUACUGUGCUUGUACAUAGGUAGAAGCUCUGAAUUAUGGGAUAUCAUUCGUAACCAUGAGAUGAAACAACCUGUAAACAGUUAAAGCAGUAAGAGCCCUUUUCAUUCCUUUGGAGACAGCGUUAGGUGAGGUACAAGUGAAGCACUUCAAGGAGUGAAUAGAUAUAAAAUUCUUGAACUGUCAUCACAGAAGGUUAACAGCUUUGUCUGAGAAUAUAUGUGGCUCUUUUGUACGAGUUAAAGGUACAAAUCUGAGUAAAUAAAAGCUUCAGUACACACGUUUAGAUUGACUUCCUAGAGCAUUUAAGCACAAACAUCCAGUGAUAUACCAUAGAGCAGGGGUGGGCAAUUAAUUUUUAUAUGGGGAGAAACCUGAACUGUGUUGGAGGACUGAACCAACACAACUUCAACUUCAAAUCAGGAGGCCAAAUAAGCAAAGUUAAAAUCAAGCUCCAAAAAAGCGCACCCGUGACUUACGAGUUUUACUAGCGACUUGUGAGAGAAACAAGCCUAAAGUCUUCUAUAGUAAGUGGACUUGGCAACUAUGAGGCAUCCAUGUAUAUUUUGCCGAUGUUGAAACUUGUCUCUGUUCACAGAUCUAGGAUGUACGCACAAGUGUCCAAACGGAAAUAAAACAACGGCUAGGUUUUCAAAAUAAAAGCAACACACUUAUAUAGCAUGUUGAUGAUUUGAUUGACAGACCUCACGAAGGGCCAGACAGGGACAUCCGGGCCGUAAAAUGCCCAGGUCUGCCUUAGAGUGUACUCCUGUUGUGUGCAGCUCCUCCUAUAGAGAUGAAACUUUGUAUAAACUUGAUUAAAUGUUCACAAAACUCUGAUCUGAGAGCAAAGAAAUGACAGACAGUACUGAGUCAGGAUUCUAGUCUGCAUGAUCACCUAUUCACCAUACAUUAUCCCUCUUUUAGUACCUGAAGGAUUCCUCACAGUCAUAAUCCACCAGCUAUUCUAUAAGGAAGUCUGCAGCCUGGAGGCAAGACAGCCAGGAGAGAAAGUCAAACUCUCUUUCUUUCUCAUCCCUUACUCUUUCCAUUCUCUCCUCACCAUCGUGGGAUCUGUCUCAAGGUUAUCCUCUAACUGCAGGUGUUGUAUGUGUGUGUGUGUGUGUGUGUGCUGCUCAAAGAACCUGCUGUAUUGAUUUAGACUGUGGGCUAAAGCUGUCAGCAGCCUUGAAUGCUGGUGAAGAGCACAGGGACACGCAGUUAGAGGCAGGUGGAUUUCACUGCAUUUAUCCAGUUUCUUCAGUGGGCUCACACCUCUUGGCCUUCAUAAUACACCACUCAAAUGUUUCUUCUGUCUUAAUCAAAAUGUCAAGUUGUUUAGCAGUCGGUGCAAUUAAUUGAAAAGUACGAUUUUCUUCAAACCAAAAAUGAGUCAUUUUUACAGUCAAGUACCGAUGCUGUGUGACUUUUGUGAUUAAAAUUCACUCGAGUACAAUUUUUUUUUUACGCACACAGACAGUCACUCUGCACCCACCUCUAAUAAGUGACUUCUAUUACAUAUACUUAGUAAGUGUGUUAUUUAAUUUACAGUAUUUAUUAUCCAAUAUCUGCUUAAGGAUGAAACUUCUCAUGUGUUAUAGGAGUUACAUGCUGUAAAUAUAAUUUUUUUUUUUGGUUUGCAUUAACUGUGAGGGAUGGUGGCCAGGAGGUCUUGGACUGCGUAUACAAAAGCAAAGGAAGAAGGAAAGGAAGGAAGGAAGGAAGAAAGGAAGGAAGGAAAAAAGAAAGAAAGAAAGAAAUUCCUGUGCAUUGACAGCCAAUGUGUUGCAAAUGCACAGGUGAUAUAAAGCCAAAAAUGAAAAAAUGACAAAUAAUAAAAAAAAUAUAUAUUAAAAAAUGUAGCUUUCGCACCAACAGUUGUGGGGGCUCUACUUUCAUUAAAGAAUAAUCAUACAGCACAAAGAGACACUUGAAGAUAUGAAGACCUGGUAUAACUAAGACUUGUAGAACAAAGGAAAGUGUUUUCUGAGGUAAUAAAUCAACUGAAUAGUGGAGACAUACAUGACAUGUUGUAAUGAAGUAAGCUGUUCUUGAUACCAGUUUUCUCACACUGUUUAACAUAAAUACAGCCUCAUGUUUUCAUGCACACUUGAAUUACUAACAUAUGGUCCACUUACCAACAACCAGCCUUAUAUGACAAGAUAUCACCCAUUAAAGCUGAUCUGCUAAAAUCUACAUAACAGCAGCACGAUGAGACACCACAGCCACCUCACAGACUGUCCUCUGAGUGGAUUUAUUUUGUGCAUCUCUGCUGAUUCAUCAAGGGGACAUUUGCCAGGAUGAAGGUAUGGACCCAAGCUCUUCAAUUUACAAGUUAUAGUUUUCCUGGAAAAGUCUGGAAACUGGCUCUGCUUUAUGGUUAUCCUCUACUUAGUCUCCCCUCCAUAAUUUGUGAUCAUGUGACACACUUUAAUGGUUGUAAAUAAUAAACACCAUAAAUAUCUGCUAUAAUUAGUGGGAGUUAUUAAAAUGACUCAUGCCUGUCACUCUAAUGGAGUAAUAAACUAACGAUGCAUGGGCUAUUAGACUAGCAUUUAUAAAUUAAAAAUGGUUUGCUUAAUAUGAUUUUUAUUGUAGAGCUUAGAGAACGACAGCACGCACCAGUUUAAACUAGAAUUAAUGCAUUUGUUUACUGAGUUCUCACUCAUCGGCUGUGAUUUUGUCUGAUAAAACACUGUAGGCUGAGCAGUAAAUGAAAAGCAAAGUAGAUUAUUCAUGUAUGACUUCAUCCUAGUAUGUAAAGCAAGAAUCUACAUUUAACUUAAGGUUUUGAAGAUAUUAAGCUUAUGAUUUAGCAUAAUUAGGGGUAUGGUGUUGCCUAAAAAUUAAAAGUGUGGUCACCACUGUGGUCAGGCUUCAUGACUCUGUAACAGAAACCAGGGAGUGACGUGAUUUAUACAGUCAAUGAUUGGAAAGUUAGGCUUGAGCCUGGCACACACGCUGAAAGAGUUUGAAAAUCCUAACUGAUUUUGUGAAAGUCAAGUGACCCCACACACAAUGACAAAUGAUGACAGAUUUAACUGUUGGGUUAGUAUAGAGUGUGGUGCGGUGAAGAGAGCACACCACCAACAUAAGGACUGUUUCCACCAGCAGCCACAGACCCAACUGUUGCUAAUGUGGUCUUUACACGAGUACGACUUUGUAAGACACCGGUAAAAUAAACUAUUGAUCUGGUGAUAUUGACACACGGAGACGCGUAUUUGUCCAUGACUCCGCAUCUUUUUUGAAAACGGGUCUACAGGUGGUCUGGGUAUUCAUCUUCACGCCGAAGUUGGUAUAAAUAGAUAAGUCCGGAAAAGACGGUGACCUUAUAGCACCCCUACUCCUCCUCGCCCCCCAACCCACGUUGUCACACACACAGCAACAACAACAAUGGCGGUAGCUUGGGUGAUUUUGUUCAUGUUCCAGCAACUACAAAUAUUGCUACGACUUUGAUACCAACAUUUAGAACAGCAACAACAGCUACGGCAACAACAGCAACAAGUGCUCAUGCAGAGACGCAGCAUUUUACGCGUGCACAACUUGUUGUCGUGGAAUCCAUCUCGGCCGGGCGUAUGUACUACAGGAUUUUGCAUUGUCAUGUAAAUGCACUAAGCCUAUGUACAAUACGAUGUGUAAACAGCGAUACACGUUUUGGUGCAGACGCCAAGACAAUAC
rnacentral:lncRNA from 1 species